UUGUGUUCACAACAUUUCACUGAUGACUGCUUUUCUAAUCUCGCUGUUUGGACUCUCAUUCUGACGGCACCCAUUCACUGCAAAGGAUCCAUUGAUGAGCAAGUGAUGUAAUGGUACAUUUCUUCAAAUCUGCUCAAUCAGUUCAACUCGGGAAACGGUGCCUAUCACAGCCUGCAGACUGGAGCCAUGUGAAUCACGGUGGGGAUUUUCAUCAGAUCAUUGCCACACAGAAUGUCCAGCAUUUGCUUCCAACUUUUGAAGGAUCAAAUUGACAUCGGCGCAAAUUGAAUGAGAGGUUUGGAGCAAAACCAUCAUGCUAGAGGUUUGUACAGGAACCGAGCCGUGACUGGAAACCAUCGUAUCAUAGCUGUACCACUUAGAGCAAAAUCAAACUGAACAUACACACAACUGUAACAAUGAGAAAACACUUUUGAGACUUUGACCAGGGAUGGUAUGUUUUGUCAUGUUCUUAUCAUUAAACCAACUAUCAUCAUCACUGUACACAGACAACAAAAAGAACAAAACCAAACGUGUGUUAUCAUGACAAACAGGAAUUCCAGAUAAGAGCUUUCAGAGAAUUUGCAAUCAAGAUACAAAUAUUUAACCGAAAAAAAAUUAUACCAAAGCUCUUCAUUCAAUACACUGAUAAUCACAGGACUAAAUGUUCACUAGCAGUAUGGAUUUUAACCUAAAUAUAGCAUAAAUGAAACUAAAUUACUAAUUACCUUUUAUUACAGGGAAUUUAACACUAUUUUUAUAUUUUUGGGUGUAAAAUUUGAGGAAAAUAUUGUAAAUUGUGUAAAAUUCUCUGUAAAAAUAAAUAUGUUGACAUUACUACAGGUAACAAUUACACAAAGUUAGUGCAAUAAAAAAAUAAGGAGAAAAAUAAUAUUUUUCUUUUUUUUUAUCAUAAUUUCUGUGGUAAUUCAAGUGUUUUUUUUUUUUGUUUGUUUUUUUUUUACUUGCAAAAUUCAUACAGUAACAAUAAAAUUGCAAAUACAUAAACGAUUUACAGUUUUUCACCAUAUAUGGUAUGUUAACCUAGAGCUUUUGAUGGCCUUUACCCUUUUGUAAAAGGAUAGUUCAUUAAAUUCAUUAAAAAGGGUAGUUCACCUAAAACUACUUUUUUUUCACUCAUGCCGUUUUAAAUACAUAUUCUUGUAUUUUGAAGCGGAAAGGACAAAUUUCACACUUCUCUUUUUCUGUACAAUGACUCUAAUUUUGGCCAAGGCCAGCAUGUUUUGUGUCGUAAUGUGUUCGUAUCACGAGUUGCAUUUUAUAGGACUGGAUUAGCUUUUUUGUGCUACACAAAGCUUACUCAGGUUUACACAAGAAAAAAUGUGUAAUAUACCUCAUGAAACUAAACUACUGAUUUGAUAUAUCAAAAAAGCCAGUCAUUUUAAACACAGUGAAGCAGAAUAAACCUGAAAUCUUCUACUCCA